rnacentral:rRNA from 1 species
UGGGGAAUAUUGGACAAUGGGCGCAAGCCUGAUCCAGCAAUGCCGCGUGUGUGAAGAGGGCCUUCGGGUUGUAAAGCACUUUUAUCAGGAGCGAAACGCUGUCGGCUAAUACCCGGCGGAACUGACGGUACCUGAGGAAUAAGCACCGGCUAACUUCGCGCCAGCAGCCGCGGUAAUACGAAGGGUGCAAGCGUUAAUCGGAAUUACUGGGCGUAAAGCGUGCGUAGGCGGUUUCUUAAGUCUGCUGUGAAAUCCCCGGGCUCAACCUGGGAAUGGCAGUGGAUACUGGGAGGCUAGAGUGUGUCAGAGGGUGGUGGAAUUCCCGGUGUAGCGGUGAAAUGCGUAGAGAUCGGGAGGAACAUCAGUGGCGAAGGCGGCCACCUGGGACAACACUGACGCUGAGGCACGAAAGCGUGGGGAGCAAACAGGAUUAGAUACCCUGGUAGUCCACGCCCUAAACGAUGCGAACUGGAUGUUGGUCUCAACUCGGAGAUCAGUGUCGAAGCUAACGCGUUAAGUUCGCCGCCUGGGGAGUACGGUCGCAAGACUGAAACUCAAAUGAAUUGACGGGGUCAUAGCUGUUUCCUG